rnacentral:lncRNA from 1 species
UUUUUUUUUAGUUGAAAAAUCCAUUCAUAAACUUUUAUUCCACUUACAUGAAUUUAAUACAUGUGUUCUUAACAAUUAUGCUUGGAUUGUUCAUGAAAAUUUCAUAAGACAUUAAACAAAGCUAGCCGUCAUCUCAAGUCGUUUCCCUGUUAACUGUGUUUACAGCUCAUGCAUGUUAGGCAAGUAUCAAAAAGGAAAAAAAAAAUCACAAAAGCAAAAAACAAAACAAAAAACUAAAAAAAACAAAGUUAAAUACACGGGGUUUUGUUUACCGCUGCGCUUGAUACACGUGGAGCAGUGAACACCAAGCAACUCAUUUUACUGCGUCUUUAACUUUUACAUUUGUUCUUAGAUUGCCUAAAACAUUUAAAUACAAAUAAAAUGUGUAGCAAAAAUAAUGAAAGCAAACAGCAGGUAACUUUACAAAUAAUGGAAUGUGAACCGUUUCUGCCCUUAUCAGAGUAAAUUGGGUCACAACUUUCUUUAGGGACCACUUCCGGAGCUGUGGCCAGGGUGUGCAUGCAGACAGGCGAUCCCGCGGUGUAUCCAGGGUACACCUGCUGUUUGUACCACAGCAUCACCAGUGCUCCAAUCCAACCUUAAAGUACCCACAACAACUACACUCCUGACUGGAACCAAUUAUCCCUUUAUUCCCACCAGCACAAACCAGUAUGUACGCAGUUUUCUUUGCUUAGACAUGGAAGCAGUUUUAACACUGGCCCUUCUGAAGCCACAAUGUACCAAAAGUACUAUGCCAAACAUGUAUAACUCGUGUAAAAAUUCCACUUCCCCAUAUUGGCCACCUCAAGAUGAAAACGAGUAACUCCCUAAAAUUAACUGGCUCUACUCCCCUAAUAUUAAAACAUAAAAACCACAUGGGAAAUAUAGAAAUUCAAAUAGAAGUAACAUAAACCUGUCAUAAAUCGUAAACAAAAAAAACUAUUUGUGAGACAGCAUGGAUGACAAAUGUCUACUGUGUAAAUUUUAGAAUGAGGCAGACAAAGGUUGGAGGGCCGGUUAAUUUUCCCCUCCUUCUCCUGCUUCUGCUUCGUCUCCUUGGGUAUCCGAUGUCCACAAUGUCAAGUUGUCUCUCAGUAACUGCAUUAUUAGCGUGCUGUCUUUG